rnacentral:rRNA from 1 species
GACGAACGCUGGCGGCGUGCUUAACACAUGCAAGUCGAACGGUAAGGCCCUUCGGGGUACACGAGUGGCGAACGGGUGAGUAACACGUGGGUGAUCUGCCCUGCACUUCGGGAUAAGCCUGGGAAACUGGGUCUAAUACCGGAUGGGACUCCUGCCUGCAUGGGUGGGGGUGGAAAGCUUUUGCGGUGUGGGAUGGGCCCGCGGCCUAUCAGCUUGUUGGUGGGGUGAUGGCCUACCAAGGCGACGACGGGUAGCCGGCCUGAGAGGGUGACCGGCCACACUGGGACUGAGAUACGGCCCAGACUCCUACGGGAGGCAGCAGUGGGGAAUAUUGCACAAGGGGCGCAAGCCUGAUGCAGCGACGCCGCAUGAGGGAUGACGGCCUUCGGGUUGUAAACCUCUUUCAGCACAGACGAAGCGCAAGUGACGGUAUGUGCAGAAGAAGGACCGGCCAACUACGUGCCAGCCGCCGCGGUAA